rnacentral:tRNA from 1 species
UGGUGCAGUAGGCAGCAUGUUAGUCUCGAAAGCUGAGGAUCCUGAGUUAGAUCCUCAG